rnacentral:rRNA from 1 species
UGCGAGUGUUAGGGUGGAAAAACCCGAACGCAUAAGGAAACUGAGGAUAAGCUGUUAACAGCAGCAGCCGAACCUGCAUCUUUGAUAACGGUAUCGAGCAAGAGCAUAUUUGAUAGGACCCGAAAGAUGGUGAACUUCGCUUGAGUAGGGUGAAGCCAGGGGAAACUCUGGUGAAAGCUCGAAGCGGUACUGACGUGCAAAUCGUUCGUCAAACUUGAGUGAAG